rnacentral:rRNA from 1 species
AGCGAACGCUGGCGGCAGGCCUAACACAUGCAAGUCGAACGAACUCUUCGGAGUUAGUGGCGGACGGGUGAGUAACACGUGGGAACGUGCCUUUAGGUUCGGAAUAACUCAGGGAAACUUGUGCUAAUACCGAAUGUGCCCUUCGGGGGAAAGAUUUAUCGCCUUUAGAGCGGCCCGCGUCUGAUUAGCUUGUUGGUGGGGUAAUGGCCCACCAAGGCGACGAUCAGUAGCUGGUCUGAGAGGAUGACCAGCCACAUUGGGACUGAGACACGGCCCAAACUCCUACGGGAGGCAGCAGUGGGGAAUCUUGUGCAAUGGGCGAAAGCCUGACGCAGCCAUGCCGCGUGGAUGAUGAAGGUCUUAGGAUUGUAAAAUCCUUUCACCGGUGAAGAUAAUGACUGUAGACGGAGAAGAAGCCCCGGCUAACUUCGUGCCAGCCGCCGCAGUAAAAC